CUACGGGGGGCUGCAGUGGGGAAUAUUGCACAAUGGGCGCAAGCCUGAUGCAGCCAUGCCGCGUGUAUGAAGAAGGCCUUCGGGUUGUAAAGUACUUUCAGCGGGGAGGAAGGGAGUAAAGUUAAUACCUUUGCUCAUUGACGUUACCCGCAGAAGAAGCACCGGCUAACUCCGUGCCAGCAGCCGCGGUAAUACGGAGGGUGCAAGCGUUAAUCGGAAUUACUGGGCGUAAAGCGCACGCAGGCGGUUUGUUAAGUCAGAUGUGAAAUCCCCGGGCUCAACCUGGGAACUGCAUCUGAUACUGGCAAGCUUGAGUCUCGUAGAGGGGGGUAGAAUUCCAGGUGUAGCGGUGAAAUGCUUAGAGAUCUGGAGGAAUACCGGUGGCGAAGGCUGCCCCCUGGACGAAGACUGACGCUCAGGUGCGAAAGCGUGGGGAGCAAACAGGAUUAGAUACCCCCGUAGUC
rnacentral:rRNA from 1 species